rnacentral:rRNA from 1 species
CCUACGGGAGGCAGCAGUGAGGAAUAUUGGUCAAUGGGCGAGAGCCUGAACCAGCCAAGUCGCGUGAAGGAUGACUGUCUUAUGGAUUGUAAACUUCUUUUGUAGGGGAAUAAAGAGGGGCACGUGUGCCUCAGUGAAUGUACCCUACGAAUAAGCAUCGGCUAACUCCGUGCCAGCAGCCGCGGUAAUACGGAGGAUGCGAGCGUUAUCCGGAUUUAUUGGGUUUAAAGGGUGCGUAGGCGGCCUGUUAAGUCAGCGGUGAAAUCUAGGAGCUUAACUCCUAAAUUGCCAUUGAUACUGGCGGGCUUGAGUGUAGAUGAGGUAGGCGGAAUGCGUGGUGUAGCGGUGGAAUGCAUAGAUAUCACGCAGAACUCCGAUUGCGAAGGCAGCUUACUAAGGUACAACUGACGCUGAAGCACGAAAGCGUGGGUAUCAAACAGGAUUAGAUACCCUUGUAGUC